CACGUAGGGUGCGAGCGUUGUCCGGAAUUAUUGGGCGUAAAGAGCUCGUAGGCGGUGUGUCGCGUCGGCCGUGAAAACCUGCAGCUUAACUGUGGGCUUGCGGUCGAUACGGGCAUCACUGGAGUUCGGCAGGGGAGACUGGAAUUCCUGGUGUAGCGGUGAAAUGCGCAGAUAUCAGGAAGAACACCCGUGGCGAAAGCGGCUCUCUGGAACGGUACUGACGCUGAGACGCGAAAGCGUGGGGAGCGAAACAGG
rnacentral:rRNA from 1 species